rnacentral:rRNA from 1 species
ACACGUCUACAUUAGACUACCCCCGUAGUCCCAGCCGUAAACUAUGCGCGUUAGGUGUAUCGGUGACCACGAGUUACCGAGGUGCCGAAGGGAAACCGUGAAACGUGCCGCCUGGGAAGUACGGUCGCAAGGCUGAAACUUAAAGGAAUUGGCGGGGAGCACCACAACAGGUGGAGCCUGCGGUUUAAUUGGACUCAACGCCGGGAAGCUCACCGGAUAGGACAGCAGAAUGAUUGCCGGGCUGAAGACCCUGCAUGACUAGCUG